UACGUAGGGUCCGAGCGUUGUCCGGAAUUAUUGGGCGUAAAGGGCUCGUAGGCGGUCUGUUGCGUCGGGAGUGAAAACUUACAGCUUACUGUGAGCGUGCUUUCGAUACGGGCAGACUUGAGGCAUUCAGGGGAGAACGGAAUUCCUGGUGUAGCGGUGGAAUGCGCAGAUAUACAGGAGGAACACCAAUAGCGAAGGCAGCUCGCUGGAACGGUACUGACGCUGAGGCGCGAAAGCGUGGGGAGCGAACAGG
rnacentral:rRNA from 1 species